UACGUAGGGGGCUAGCGUUGUCCGGAAUCAUUGGGCGUAAAGCGCGUGUAGGCGGCCCGGUAAGUCCGCUGUGAAAGUCGGGGGCUCAACCCUCGAAUGCCGGUGGAUACUGUCGGGCUAGAGUGCGGAAGAGGCGAGUGGAAUUCCUGGUGUAGCGGUGAAAUGCGCAGAUAUCAGGAGGAACACCUAUUGCGAAGGCAGCUCGCUGGGACGUAACUGACGCUGAGACGCGAAAGCGUGGGGAGCAAACAGG
rnacentral:rRNA from 1 species